CUGAGAUUCUGCCCAUGCCUCCAUUCCGUCUGUACUUCAAGGCCAUGUCCGAGGGUAUCUUUCCUCUUCUGAGAUCCCACGACCGGCUAUGGCGAUCACCACCAUGGAGCCUCGCGAUUCCCUGCUCCUCAUCGUGCUCUGCUACUUCUUCCUGUUCGUGCUGCAGGACGUGCUGCAGCCCAUUCUGUUUGUAUUCCUCCUCCUGUUUGUCGCUUUCGUCACCUUUCAGCCAGCUCAUGAUCCCCAUCUCCACAGACCACGCCGUUAGAAUUAGAUACCUAGAAUUCUCCUUCAUCUUGUUGAACGUGGUUGUUCUCGCCCUGUCUCAGUUUUUGGGUUACCAUGGCUUGUUCGAUGGUAGUAAAAUUGGCGAGAUUGGAGUAGGGAAACAUAGGCAGGUGUCGCGUGAUAUGUACACUUAGAGUAUGACGAUGACCAGUGCAGGAUAAAUUUUUGUCGAAAUUUGUAAACUAGAGAUGAGGAUAUAAUGGUGAGAUUAUGUGCGAGGUUGUUUGGUUAACUUGGCCAUCAGGUUAUUCGUGGUCCGAAUGAUAUUGUGGAUUUAAGUUUCCUCUAGAAUAAUGAAGAGACCAUUAUCGAUUAGGCUGCUGCGGUUUCUAUGUGGCUCGUUUAUACUAGGCCUCCUUGCAUUCGAAAGCUUUUCGCUCUUUGUUCUCAUGAAAUGCUGCUCUGAAACCUAACUCCUGAGGAUUGGGAGUAUCAAGUAUUCUGUGCCUGCUGCCAGCUGUGGAGACACCCUCCUGUUCAGAAUAUGAGCCGGUGUACUUCAGGAUCAUUGGCAAUGAGCUGGAAAUGAAGCUUACAAAUCAGGAGCGUGUAUGUGCCUUAUGUAGAUAACUAGGUAUAUCAAUAAAUUCGCCGAAUUCGCAUGUUGAUCAUUCCGCUUUGCGCAAGAAUUGAGAUACCAAGCCUAGUACUUAAAUUUUUCCGCUAGUUUUGAAGUGAAGGGAGUUAUCAUCCUCGAGGAAAUGUCUUCUGAGAAGAAAAUAAAGCUGCUCCAUCCAUGUGAAUCCUUCUCUGGCGGUUUCAUGUGUAUGUUCUGUGUCUAGGGUGGGAUUAACUGCAUCAGAGCAACCAUACCAGCAAGCAGCUAAUUGAGAUCGAAUCAUCCUCAUGUAAUAAUCAAAAGGUUGUUUACAUUACACUGUUUCAGUGCAUAUUGAUUAGAUCUUUACUGUCCGAUUGAUUAGACACCGUUGCAUUUGUGUGUGCAUAUUGAUAUCAUGAACAUUAGAUGAGAUAGUUCAGAAACGGGAGAUGGAGAGUUACUGCAAAGACGAGAGAAUAUGGAACAAGACGUAGGACCUAAAUUAACAAUGCAUGUAGUUUAGUAGUCAUUACCUGAAUCACCAGCAGUGGCUUAGCCUCAUCUCUUAGUAGACACCUGAUUCAUUUGGAAUGAUGCACUCGGAUGCUUUGCAGAACCGAGAAAUGAUGCAGUCUUUUUUUCCUUUUCUAAAA